rnacentral:rRNA from 1 species
GACGAACGCUGGCGGCGUGCCUAACACAUGCAAGUCGAGCGAAUGAAGAAGAAAGCUUGCUUUCUUUUGAUUUAGCGGCGGACGGGUGAGUAACACGUGGGUAACCUGCCUCAAAAUGGGGGAUAGCCUCUCGAAAGGGAGAUUAAUACCGCAUAACAUUACGGUGUCGCAUGGCAUUGUAAUCAAAGGCGCAAGCCGUUUUGAGAUGGACCCGCGGCGCAUUAGCUAGUUGGUGAGGUAGUAGCUCACCAAGGCGACGAUGCGUAGCCGACCUGAGAGGGUGAUCGGCCACAUUGGAACUGAGAUACGGUCCAGACUCCUACGGGAGGCAGCAGUGGGGAAUAUUGCACAAUGGGCGAAAGCCUGAUGCAGCAACGCCGCGUGAGUGAAGAAGGCCUUCGGGUCGUAAAGCUCUUUGAUUGGGGACGAUAAUGACGGUACCCAAAGAACAAGCCACGGCUAACUACGUGCCAGCAGCCGCAGUAAAAC